GACGAACGCUGGCGGCGUGCCUAAUACAUGCAAGUCGAACGCAGUGGGGACGGGUGAGUAACACGUGGGUAACCUCCCAUCAGAGGGGAUAACACUUGGAAACAGGUGCUAAACCGAUACUGAUGGAUGGACCCGCGGUGCAUUAGCUAGUUGGUGAGGUAACGGCUCACCAAGGCCACGAUGCAUAGCCGGCCUGAGAGUGUGAGCGGCCACACGGGGACUGAGACACGGCCCAGAGUCCUACGGGAGGCAGCAGGGGGGAAGCUGCGGAAAGGGACGAAAGUCUGACCGAGCAAGGCCGCGGGAGUGAAGAAGGUUUUAGGAUCGUAAAACGCUGUUGUUAGAGAAGCGGUAUCUAAAGAAAAAGCCACGGCUAACUACGUGCCAGCAGCCGCGGUAAUAC
rnacentral:rRNA from 1 species